UACGAAGGGUGCUAGCGUUGUUCGGAAUUACUGGGCGUAAAGCGCGCGUAGGCGGCCAUUCAAGUCAGAGGUGAAAGCCCGGAGCUUAACUCCGGAACUGCCUUUGAAACUGUAUGGCUUGAGUGUCGGAGGGGAUAGCGGAAUUGCUAAUGUAGAGGUGAAAUUCGUAGAUAUUAGCAGGAACACCGGUGGCGAAGGCGGCUAUCUGGACGACAACUGACGCUGAGGCGCGAAAGCGUGGGGAUCAAACAGG
rnacentral:rRNA from 1 species